rnacentral:rRNA from 1 species
UACGUAGGGUGCGAGCGUUGUCCGGAUUUAUUGGGCGUAAAGAGCUCGUAGGCGGUUUGUCGCGUCGGCCGUGAAAUCUCCACGCUUAACGUGGAGCGUGCGGUCGAUACGGGCAGACUUGAGUUCGGUAGGGGAGACUGGAAUUCCUGGUGUAGCGGUGGAAUGCGCAGAUAUCAGGAGGAACACCGGUGGCGAAGGCGGGUCUCUGGGCAGUAACUGACGCUGGAGGAGCGGAAAGCCGUGGGGAGCGAACAGG